rnacentral:rRNA from 1 species
CCGGCGCACGGGUGAGUAACGCGUAUGCAACUUACUAUCAGGAGGGGGAUAACCCGGCGAAAGUCGGACUAAUACCGCAUGAAGCAGGGGCCCCGCAUGGGGAUAUUUGCUAAAGAUUCAUCGCUGAUAGAUAGGCAUGCGUUCCAUUAGGCAGUUGGCGGGGUAACGGCCCACCAAACCGACGAUGGAUAGGGGUUCUGAGAGGAAGGUCCCCCACAUUGGUACUGAGACACGGACCAA